rnacentral:lncRNA from 1 species
CACAACCACAAAAGUAAAGGGUGAGUAACUAAGGACAUAACAUAGCAUAUAAUUUCAAAGACAACAUCAUAACAUAGACUAAAAUAGUCAUCACAUCACAACACAUCUCAGUAUUCAACUCAUAACUUAAAUCAUCACCACCCAGACUAUCAUAGUCAUAACAUUACAAUACAUCACAAUAUUGAACUCACAACUCAAAUCAUUCACACAAGCUUCUGUUGUUUCCUUG